rnacentral:rRNA from 1 species
GAUCCUGGCUCAGGACGAACGCUGGCGGCGUGCUUAACACAUGCAAGUCGAACGAUGAAGUUAUGACGGAGGCUUCGGCCGACAGAAUAACGGAAUAGUGGCGGACGGGUGAGUAACGCGUGAGUAACCUGCCUUUCAGAGAGGAAUAACAUUUGGAAACGAAUGGUAAUACCACAUAACAUUACGUUCUCGCAUGGGGAUGUAAUCAAAGAUUUUAUCGCUGAGAGAUGGCCUCGCGUCUGAUUAGCUAGUUGGUGAGGUAACGGCCCACCAAGGCGACGAUCAGUAGCCGGACUGAGAGGUUGAACGGCCACAUUGGGACUGAGAUACGGCCCAGACUCCUACGGGAGGCAGCAGUGGGGAAUAUUGGGCAAUGGGCGCAAGCCUGACCCAGCAACGCCGCGUGAAGGAAGAAGGCUUUCGGGUUGUAAACUUCUUUUGUCGGGGACGAGUAGAAGACGGUACCUGACGAAUAAGCCACGGCUAACUACGUG